CAGUUAGGUUAAGAAGAGUUGGAUAAGAAACUUUAACGAUGUUCAACGGAAAGCUGCAACUAAACACUAGGACAGGACAAACAACAGUUCAACUGUUAAACGGUAGCCUACUGCUGACUACAGUUAGUGAAGUUAUAGUGUAUGCAGGACAAACUUAGUGCGUUUUGUCCCAAUUAACGUUGUGGAUUCAGUUAUCCUGGGUGGUGAAUACUUUCUGUUGAUAAAAUGGAGCUGCUUCGACUGCUGCUCAUUGGUGCUUGUGGAUGCCUUCAUCUUGUCUGGAAACUGACAUUUGAAUGCUGUGCUGUUCCAUAGUUAAGGAAGUAAAGGACAAACGGCAUGGGACCGCAAGGCCUAAUGAUGGAGACACAUUCCUACUUCCCCUGCUCAUUCUUGGAUUUCACUUCUGUCUCUUCCUGAAAACAUGACAACAGAGUGUGUGGGAUGGAGACAUACUGUACAUUAAAUGCAGAAUCUCAUUCAAAUUGGGGGCGAAAAGGCAGGUCAACCAUAUGAGCCUCGAGCCAGCAGAGCCUGUAAACCGAUCCUCGUAGUCUAAGCACAUCCUCUGUGUUG